rnacentral:rRNA from 1 species
GAUUACCCGCUGAACUUAAGCAUAUCAAUAAGCGGAGGAAAAGAAACUAACAAGGAUUCCCCUAGUAGCGGCGAGCGAAGCGGGAAGAGCUCAAAUUUGUAAUCUGGCGCUUUCAGCGUCCGAGUUGUAAUCUCUAGAAAUGUUUUCCGCGUUGCACCGCACACAAGUCUGUUGGAAUACAGCGGCACAGUGGUGAGACCCCCGUUCAUGGUGCGGAUGCGCAAUGCUUUGUGAUACAUUUUCGAAGAGUCGAGUUGUUUGGGAAUGCAGCUCAAAUUGGGUGGUAAAUUCCAUCUAAAGCUAAAUAUUGGCGAGAGACCGAUAGCGAACAAGUACCGUGAGGGAAAGAUGAAAAGCACUUUGGAAAGAGAGUUAACAGUACGUGAAAUUGUUGGAAGGGAAACGCUUGAAGUCAGACUUGCUUGCCGGAGCUUGCUUCGGUUUGCAGGCCAGCAUCAGUUUUCCGGGGUGGAUAAUGGUGGUUUGAAGGUAGCAGCCUCGGCUGUGUUAUAGCUUUCCACUGGAUACAUCCUGGGGGACUGAGGAACGCAGCGUGCUUUUUGCGAAGGUUUCGACCUUUUCACGCUUAGGAUGCUGGUGUAAUGGCUUUAAACGACCCGUCUUGUAACACGGACCAAGGAGUCUAGCAUAUCUGCAAGUGUUUGGGUGUUAAAAACCCGAGCGCGU